rnacentral:rRNA from 1 species
CCUACGGGGGGCUGCAGUGGGGAAUAUUGCACAAUGGGGGAAACUCUGAUGCAGCGACGCCGCGUGAGGGAAGAAGUAUUUCGGUAUGUAAAGCUCUAUUAGCAGGGAAGUUAAUGACGGUACCUGACUUAGACGGCCCGGCUAACUACGUUCCAGCAGCCGCGGGAAUACGUAGGGGGCCAGCGUUAUCCGGAUUUACUGGGCGUAAAGGGAGCGUAGGUGGUAGGGCAAGUCAGAUGUGAAAAGCCGGGGCUCAACCCCGGGAGUGCAUUUGAAACUGUCGAGCUAGAGAGCAGGAGCGGUAAGCGGAAUUCCUAGUGUAGCGGUGAAAUGCAUAGAUAUUAGGAGGAACACCAGUGGCGAAGGCAGCUUACUGGACUGUAACUGACACUGAGGCUCGAAAGCGUGGGGAGCAAACAGGAUUAGAUACCCUUGUAGUC